UGCCUCCGCCGCCGCUCCGGGGCCGGGAACGGCCUUCGGGCUCCUCGCCUGCUCCGAAACUGCUUUAGGGAUGAGGGUGGCUUGGUUUGUUUCGGGUGGUUCGGGGGUUUUUUGAGGGGGGUGUGUAUAAAUCUGGGCUGGAGUUCCGCGGCUCCAUGCCCGGAGUUUGAGGCUCCGCUCCUGCGGUGCCGCGGGCACACGCGGCCGGUGGGGGGGGAAGGAGAAUAGAAAGCCAGAGGGGUAGAGACCCCCCCUUUUCUCCCUCCCCUCUCCCCCAAAAACCACCUCUUUGAGCACCGUGCCACCGGCAGAGCUGUCACUCGAGGGCGAGCAUUUCGUUUUCUCUGCGACAUGAAACGAUGAUUCUGCAGGAAGGACAGGAAAAAAAAAAAUAAAACCAACCAAACAACAACAAACCACCCCUAACUCCGAGGAUUUGAGGCGAAUAUCGCCCAAAAUAAGCCGGUGCUGCGAGGGUCAGCGAGCUGGAACCGACCUGGGAUCCAAGGAUAAUUUUAGCUGUGCAGCGUGUCAGGAAACGGGCAGCAGCCCCGUGUGAUGCAAAUAUUUGGACGAGCGAGAGGGUGACCUUAGAUGGGGAAUCCUAACUCAGACUCCUCUCGCCUUGAAUGCAUUUUGCAACAGUUCCCGGUGUCGGCAGCUCUUGGUAACAUCCCAAAAAUGCUGGAAAUGCUUUCCAGGCAAGAAUCUGGAGCCAUCCAGAUGGGAUGUGAGGAAGAACCAGUCCCAGCUGGAAGAGUGGCUGGUUGGUAGCUGGGACCAGCACUGCAGGUGUAGGAAGAUCUGAAGGUUUCAUGGUGGCCGUGCAUCGAUGUCUUCAGGUUUCCUCAGCUGUGAGCCUUGGGGUUAUAUUUGGGCUCCAAAGGGGAUGUGCAGGGGGCUGGAAGAACCUUCCUGAAGGUUUCCCUCCGUGGGGAAUGGCCAGAGGGAUUGCACAUGGAUGGAGCUGGCUCUUCCCAGUGUGUGCAGAGUGCUGGGAAUGGGAGAGAUUAGGUGAAGGAAAAGGGAGGGUUUGUUUGUGAGGACAUACACACAAUCCUUCCAUAAAACGGAUCAAUUAAAACCCCCUGGAGGAAGAAAUUAACUUUGUGUUAUCUUUCCAUACUGCUGAACCUCUGGGCUGGGAAUUCAUCCUCUCUUUUCCAGCCAGGUGAGGGAGAUCAAUCCUUUUUUUAGCUCUGACCCUGCCAAGCCCUGAAAUUCAAGCAUGGCUUUCCUCACCUGGAAACACUGCUGCUCUCUGCCUCCCCUUGCUACUGAAAUCCAGCCAGGAGAAGGUUGCAAACCCUGGAGGAUUUGGGCCAGUGUUAAGCAAAGCAGGAAUGAACAAGCUCAGCACACCCUGGUGCAUCCCCAUGCCCUUGGGAAUGGAAGGGGUGAGCCUUGGCUUGUGGUCCAGCCCAGCCUGGUGCUUUUAGCUGUACAAAAGUGAUUUUGUUUUUUCCAAAGCAAACUAUUACUGGCAGUCUGGAAGGGGUUUAUCCUACAGAAUCUGCCCUGCCUCAUCUGCCAGGGAACAUGCAGGACUCAACUCCUCUUCCUUGGAGUAAAUCACAGUGUGGGGCUGCCUUAUCUCAGCCAGAGCCCCCGAGCAGGAAUGCUGCACUGUCCAGCCCUUGGGCCACCCAGCCCUAAUCCCAGGAAUCAGCUCCAGGCCCACACUCUGACCCUCCAGAGCCGUAUUUUUGCAAGGUCAGGAGGCUGGGAGGUAAAAGGGGAGUGGGGAAUAGCAGGGAGAGAUUCAAGGCAGGCUCUGCACUGAGAUUUCGUGGAAAUGUUUACACUGGCCAUGGAGUGGAGACUUGAGCCUGUUCCCCUCUCCAGAUUUGCUGGAAAUCUGCAUCAGGUGUGGACACAGCUCCAGCUUCCAUCUGUCCUGGGUGAGGGUGGCUUCACACCCUUUUGCUUGGUUGUUUUAAUGGAUCCAAGUCGAUCGAGGAAGGGUUGGAUGUGGCAGCCAGCCCUGACAGGCAUCAUUUCAUCCCUGGUUCCUUCCUAGGACAACGAGGCUGCUUUUAGUUUGAGGUGUAGCCAGAGGGAAGGAUAAAUAAGGAAAAUCAGAUGGCAGCAGGGCACAUGGGAGAGGAGGGGAGAGACAGCUCUGUCAGAUGGAAGUGAAUGGAUGGAGAAACAGCUCUGAGUAUUUCCUUCGUCCAUCACAGAAUAUUUUGUGCUGUGCUGAGGUGAUUCAGCACCUGCCAGCUUGUCAGCAGAAAGGAUGACAGAGAGGACAGCAGUGGUUGGAGAGGGCCCACUGUGUACACGUGGAGGAACCAUUCCAUCCUGUGUGGAUGUGUUCUCUGGGAUCAGGACAAAAAAUAAUUUGAUGUGAAGUUUCUCUGCGAAAUCUCUGUUGCAUUUGGCUGGAAGGGCCAAUGAAGGGGAUUCAUCCAAGAAACAGCUGUGCAAAGGGUCACUGAGCGUGGACUGGCUGUCCAUCAGGAACAGGGAAAGGCUGUGUAGCACACCAUUCCCAGGACACAUUUCAAUCAAGAGAGUGAAAAGGGGUCAAAGGGAAUGCUCCAAGCAAAAUUCUGAUUUUCUCAAGUUGCUAAACUGAAAUGAGGUUACUAUUUCUUUUUGUGUAUAAAUCCUUUUUGAAUGGAAGGGAAAACAUCAUUUCCUUCUCUCUAAGGGCUGGUAUCAACAAAGGAUGUGAUCCACUGCCCAGUGAAGUAAGAAUUCAGGGUCCACUAUCAAGGGCUGCACAGUGAAUUCUUCCUUAACAUCUCAUUGCAAUGAGCUGCUCCAAUCCCUCCUGAGCUUUUUGAGUGGCUCAUUUUCAGAAUGAAAAUCUUCAGAAGUGAAGCCCAGGAAGUCACUCUUGCCCAGCUCCCAGCCCA